UUGGAUGUGAAUUGAUUUAUGUUUGGACACACUUGUUUAAAAGUGAGUUUUUAUGAGUUGAUAUUGUUUGGAUAG
rnacentral:pre_miRNA from 1 species